GCGACACUCCCGUAGACUUCUAUAGAAAGAAUGGAAUGCGGAAGUCACGUGGUCCAUGGAGCUGCAGAAAGUUCAAAAUGGCCGUUGCUCCAGCACUGUACGCAGUUCAUUUUCGGUCUUUUGGAGGCUUUUUUGCCGGGGACUGAUCUUCAGAGGUGAUCUGAGUGAAGACCAGGCUCGUGGAACUUGACGGUCCUGUCAGUGAUGGAGUGAUGAGGAUGCUGAGUAUCUGUGGCAUUUGGAAGCUCCAUGAAGGAUGCACUGGACCUGGUUCGGAAAAGCUUCUCAAUUUUCUGGACCAGACUGAAGGCUUCGUGUGAUGGACGACAGAGCACACCCGGUUUGAAUUCCUUCAAUGUCAGUAAUGCAUCAUGCUCUCCUUCCAGACUUUCAUCAUUUUGCACAAUCGCACUUUGGCAAACAUCACAGAUGUCGCAAAGUUUGAUGACUUUAUUUACAAUGUAUCCUGCAAGAUAGUAGAGAGUACAGGUUUCACUCUUUGAGAGAUCUGGAGUAUCUUUGUGGCCAGUCAGCUGGUCCACUCUCAGGCCAGGUCUGGGAGUUGUCUCCUUGUUGUCCAGGAACUCUGCCAAAAGACUGUUGUCAUCCUCCUGAUAGUUUCCUGAUUUGACUGUCACAAGAAACUGCCCAACUGAUAUUGAUCUGAGAGCCUGGUGGAACUCCACUGGUGUUGGGACAGGAUUCCUCUGCCUAAUGCAGCUGAACAAGUUUUCAAGACAGUCUUGGGUUUCCAGCUACCUGUUGGACCAAUCUUUAGACCACGGAAGAGUUGGAUCAUGUUGUGGAGAAACUCGAUGGCUUUGUGGUACUGUUCCAUCUUGUGCCUGCUCAGCGCCAUUACUGGGUGUCGGGAAGACAUGAUAUCGAACCAGUGGUUGACCUGCUCCAGAAACCAUGCUGUUGUCAGGUUAGAGGUAGGUCGCUGCUCCUUCUCCACCAUGUAUUUCAGACCUGCACUCGCUGACAUGCUGAAAACAUUCAUUGCAGGCCCCACCUUCAUUUUCUCAAAAUGACUGGGUUGAAGGGUUUUCUGACACAGAUUUGGAGCAAUUUUUAAUGGUGUUCCUUCUUGAAAAUCCACCAGAUCUUUCAAGGGUCUAAUGGAAACUUCGUUGUGAGGGAGACUCUCUUUUUCAACUAUCUCAGGUGGAAUUUUAAAUGUCUGUCCACGCACUAGUGCACUCUUCAAAUUUUUUACCAGAUGUGGGACAUCUGGCAUAAAGUACAGCCUCCUGUCUGGUCUCGCUGGGUGUGGGAUGGAUGUUUGGUUGUGGUCCACUCCAAAUGACCUCCACAUAGCCCGAUUAGGACUGCCCAUGUCAGUGGUGACAUUUACCACAUGAAGCCCUAUGGAAGCUGCUCUCUCGAUGAUUUCGGUGAUGACAGGCUUGUAGCUUGCCCCAUUGGUGGAAUUCCCACUGAAAUGGUAAGCGACUACUUGCUUCCAUCUCAGUGUGCUUCCUGCCAACAUGAAAACACAUGCAUGUGUUGCUGCUCCUGUAUGCCCAGGCAGUGUCACAUCCCCGAAAAGCUUCCCGGUUCCAAGGUGCAGCUCCACACCUGGUGUGAUGGCCAUCUCAUCUACAGUCAGCACACAUUCCUUCUCCAAAGCUCCAAGACUGUUUACCUUCAGCUCAAGCAUCUCAAAAACCUCUUCUAGCACACCUGGUUGCAGUUUGAUGUGUUCCAGUCUUCUUUGCAAGGUUCGGAUAUCAGGUAAAGGGUAAUCCAUAUCUUGUAGCUGCCUGUAACCCGUUGAGCCGGCUGAAAAACGGAGCUUUAUGGCUUUUUUUACAGUGUCUUUGCUCCACCUAAUACCUUUUUUGUUCUUCAUGCCAAUUGCCUUCAUCUGAUCCUUGGAAAACAUUUGACCCAAUUUUUUUUUCAUAGUGACAACUUUUUUGCGCAGGACUGCAUUCAUCUUUUUUUGUCUGCUAAAUGCUCUCUGUAACUUUCUCAACUGAUCUUUCUGGCUCUCUGAUUCUUCUCUCAGGUUUUGGAUGCUGAUUUCCUCCUCAAAUGAUUUUUCACUGGUUCCUGUCACUGUUGACCCCUGCACACUGGAUCCUGGCUCAUUUGUAUCUGGUUUGUCCCUCUCUUCUGAGUCCACAACUUCAUCUUCUCUCUGUCUCUCUCUUUCCCUUAUCUCACUUGCCUCAUUUCUGGUUCUCCCUUCCUCAACAUCUAAAAUGAAUAUGCCACUGUUAGUAAGAAGAUUAGUCAUUAAUUAAGAAAUGUAAAAAAAUAUUCCUCAACAGUACUAUGACUCAUACCAAAGUUAACUGUAGAAUAAUAUGUGUGGUCACUUCUAAGUGAAUUAACAUUUAGUGGAAGUUCUGGUGUACUUCUCAUUGCAGGACCCUUCCUUCUCCUUGGCGCUCGGCGGUGGACAAAAAGAGUUGGAACAGCAUCAGGCUUCAGUCUCACUUUGCCCGUCUUUGUCCUGUUAAACUGAUCUCCCUCAAAAUGUGCCUGCAGAGUAUCUCAUUAGUUUAAUUUCCAUACAUGUUGCAUUUUUAUUGAAGCAUAUGACAGAACAACAUGUUAAACCCUGAUUUAGAAUCUUUGUGUGUGCAGUAUAAACUUACCGCACACAGUUUUCUGUUAUUAUGAUCUCUGGAGAUGGAGAGAUUGCUCCUACUGACUUGGACUAGCCAUUUUUUUCUUCUCUCUGUGUCUUUAGGGAAGCCAUACAUUCUGGUCCCUUUUUCAGAGUGGCUGGUGCACCCAAAUGCAGCACAGCCUACCAUGAGUCCACUGAUGUUUCGAAGAGAUGGUCACUACCAAAUGAAGCAACUGCCAAGUUGAGAAGGAUGAACCCUCAUUGAAUGAACCUUUAAACAAUUAAUUGUUGCAGAUUCAACUAUUAAACAUUACAAGUAUUAGUAAAA